AUGCUCACUUUGGCAGGACAUGUACUAGAAUUGGAAUGAUAACCGAGAAGAUUCAUAUGGCCCCUGCACAAGGAUGACAGCAGGUUCACGAAGUGUUCCAUAUUCUU
ensembl:snRNA U6 U6 spliceosomal RNA